AUUGAACGCUGGCGGCAGGCUUAACACAUGCAAGUCGAGCGAGAGGCGGACGGGUGAGUGAUGUCUGGGAAACUGCCUGAUGGAGGGGGAUAACUACUGGAAACGGUAGCAAAUACCGCAUACCAUCAGAUGUGCCCAGAUGGGAUUAGCUAGUCGGUGGGGUAAUGGCUCACCUAGGCGACGAUCCCUAGCUGGUCUGAGAGGAUGACCGGCCACACUGGAACGGAGACACGGCCCAGACUCCGACGGGAGGCAGCAGUGGGGAAUAUUGCACAAUGGGCGCAAGCCUGAUGGAGCCAUGCCGCGUGAGUGAAGAAGGCCUUCGGGUUGUAAAGCACUUUCAGCAAGGAGGCGGUACCCGAAGAAGAAGCACCGGCUAACUCCGUGCCAGCAGCCGCGGUAAUUC
rnacentral:rRNA from 1 species